GGGUGACCAGAACUGGACGCAGUACUAUCGAUGAAGCCUCACCAGCAUCUUGUACAACUUCAACAAGAUGCCCCAACUCCUGCACUGAAAGCUUAAUGAUAUCCUUCAUAUAACAGCCGAUCAGAAGUGGACACAUUACCCCAGAAGAGGCCUCACCGACGUUCUGUACAAGCUCAACAUAACAUCCCAACUCCUCUCAAACGUCUGAGCAAUGAAGGAUAUGGGCAUUGCUGGCUCGGCCAGAAUUUAUUGCCCAGAGGGCUGUCCAGAGUCAACUGCAUUGCUGUGGGACUGGAGUAACGUAUAGGCCAGACCAGGGAAUUGGAAAGGGGGAAUUCACAGACAGGCAGCUCAAGUCAAACAUUGGAUCAAGAGCUGCCAGUAACACUCGGUCCUCAGGAGCUUUGAACAUGGAAGGUAAAAGCAACGUUCACAGUGAAGAGAAACCAUACACGUGGUCUGUGUGGACAAGCCUUCAGUCAAUUGUCUGGCCUGUCGAUACGUAAAUGCAGUCAAAACAGGGUGACAACAAUGACAUCAAGCAGCACUUGCUUUGUAAUGUCAUGGUCAUGGAUCUCAGUUUGAGUUCAGCAAGAGCCACUCAGCUCCUGGUCUCCUUACAAUCUUGGUGCAAACAUGGACCAAACAGCUGAAUUCCAAAUGUGAGGGACUAUCCGCUAUCUUAAGGCUCCAUUUGACACGGCAUUGUAUUAAGGAAUCAUAACAAAGCUAAAGUCAAUGGGAACGAGAGGAUGUUAUUCUUCCUUAGAUAGCCGGUUUUUGAAAAGAUUGCAUCUUCAGACCUCGGUAGAUCAAAACAAGGUGAAUUUAAUCAAACUUGUACCACAGACAUGUGGAAGAGGUCUCAAAGUCUAGCUUGGAGACACUCAACUUUUUACAGCUCAAUACAGCAUAUUAAGACACCUUCAUGUCAGAAUGGUUGCACGUAACAUUGGUAUUAAAUAAAUUGUAUGUCAGUUACUUACUACAAA